rnacentral:rRNA from 1 species
UGGAGAGUUUGAUCCUGGCUCAGGAUGAACGCUGGCGGCGUGCCUAAUACAUGCAAGUCGAGCGAACGGACGAGAAGCUUGCUUCUCUGAUGUUAGCGGCGGACGGGUGAGUAACACGUGGAUAACCUACCUAUAAGACUGGGAUAACUUCGGGAAACCGGAGCUAAUACCGGAUAAUAUUUUGAACCGCAUGGUUCAAAAGUGAAAGACGGUCUUGCUGUCACUUAUAGAUGGAUCCGCGCUGCAUUAGCUAGUUGGUAAGGUAACGGCUUACCAAGGCAACGAUGCAUAGCCGACCUGAGAGGGUGAUCGGCCACACUGGAACUGAGACACGGUCCAGACUCCUACGGGAGGCAGCAGUAGGGAAUCUUCCGCAAUGGGCGAAAGCCUGACGGAGCAACGCCGCGUGAGUGAUGAAGGUCUUCGGAUCGUAAAACUCUGUUAUUAGGGAAGAACAUAUGUGUAAGUAACUGUGCACAUCUUGACGGUACCUAAUCAGAAAGCCACGGCUAACUACGUGCCAGCAGCCGCGGUAAUACGUAGGUGGCAAGCGUUAUCCGGAAUUAUUGGGCGUAAAGCGCGCGUAGGCGGUUUUUUAAGUCUGAUGUGAAAGCCCACGGCUCAACCGUGGAGGGUCAUUGGAAACUGGAAAACUUGAGUGCAGAAGAGGAAAGUGGAAUUCCAUGUGUAGCGGUGAAAUGCGCAGAGAUAUGGAGGAACACCAGUGGCGAAGGCGACUUUCUGGUCUGUAACUGACGCUGAUGUGCGAAAGCGUGGGGAUCAAACAGGAUUAGAUACCCUGGUAGUCCACGCCGUAAACGAUGAGUGCUAAGUGUUAGGGGGUUUCCGCCCCUUAGUGCUGCAGCUAACGCAUUAAGCACUCCGCCUGGGGAGUACGACCGCAAGGUUGAAACUCAAAGGAAUUGACGGGGACCCGCACAAGCGGUGGAGCAUGUGGUUUAAUUCGAAGCAACGCGAAGAACCUUACCAAAUCUUGACAUCCUUUGACAACUCUAGAGAUAGAGCCUUCCCCUUCGGGGGACAAAGUGACAGGUGGUGCAUGGUUGUCGUCAGCUCGUGUCGUGAGAUGUUGGGUUAAGUCCCGCAACGAGCGCAACCCUUAAGCUUAGUUGCCAUCAUUAAGUUGGGCACUCUAAGUUGACUGCCGGUGACAAACCGGAGGAAGGUGGGGAUGACAUCAAAUCAUCAUGCCCCUUAUGAUUUGGGCUACACACGUGCUACAAUGGACAAUACAAAGGGCAGCGAAACCGCGAGGUCAAGCAAAUCCCAUAAAGUUGUUCUCAGUUCGGAUUGUAGUCUGCAACUCGACUACAUGAAGCUGGAAUCGCUAGUAAUCGUAGAUCAGCAUGCUACGGUGAAUACGUUCCCGGGUCUUGUACACACCGCCCGUCACACCACGAGAGUUUGUAACACCCGAAGCCGGUGGAGUAACCUUUUAGGAGCCAGCCGUCGAAGGUGGGACAAAUGAUUGGGGUGAAGUCGUAACAAGGUAGCCGUAUCGGAAGGUGCGGCUGGAUCACCUCCUUUCU